rnacentral:rRNA from 1 species
UACGGAAGGCAGCAGUGGGGAAUAUUGGACAAUGGGCGAAAGCCUGAUCCAGCCAUGCCGCAUGAGUGAAGAAGGCCUUCGGGUUGUAAAGCUCUUUUAGUGAGAAAGAUAAUGACGGUACUCACAGAAGAAGUCCUGGCUAACUCCGUGCCAGCAGCCGCGGUAAUACGGAGGGUGCUAGCGUUAAUCAGAAUUACUGGGCGUAAAGAGCACGUAGGUGGUUUUUUUAAGUCAGAUGUGAAAUCCCUGGGCUUAACCUAGGAACUGCAUUUUGAAACUGAAAUACUAGAGUAUCGUAGAGGGAGGUAGAAUUCUAGGUGUAGCGGUGAAAUGCGUAGAUAUCUGGAGGAAUACCUGUGGCGAAAGCGGCCUCCUAAACGAAUACUGACACUGAGGGUGCGAAAGCGUGGGGAGCAAACAGGGAUUAGAUACC